rnacentral:rRNA from 1 species
CGUCAAAUCAGCACGGCCCUUAUGUUCGGGGCUACACACGUGCUACAAUGGUCGGUACAGAGGGCAGCUACCCCGCGAGGGGAUGCAAAUCUUUAAAGCCGAUCUCAGUUCGGAUCGGAGUCUGUAACUCGACUCCGUGAAGUUGGAUUCGCUAGUAAUUGCGCAUCAGCCAUGGCGCGGUGAAUACGUUCCCGGGCCUU